rnacentral:rRNA from 1 species
CCUACGGGAGGCAGCAGUGAGGAAUAUUGGUCAAUGGGCGAGAGCCCGAACCAGCCAAGUCGCGUGAGGGAGUACUGCCCUAUGGGUUGUCAACCUCUUUUGUCGGGGAGCAAAAGCCGGACGUGUCCGGCUGUGAGAGUACCCGAAGAAAACGCAUCGGCUAACUACGUGCCAGCAGCCGCGGUAAUACGGGGGAUGCGAGCGUUAUCCGGAGUUAUUGGGUUUAAAGGGAGCGCAGGCGGAUUUUUAAGUCAGCGGUAAAAUCGUGGGGCUCAACCCCAUCCAGCCGUGGAAACUGGGGAUCUAGAGUGUGCGAGAGGUAUGCGGAAUGCGUGGUGUAGCGGUGAAAUGCAUAGAUAGCACGCAGAACCCCGAUUGCGAAGGCAGCAUACCGGUGCACAACUGACGCUCAGGCACGAAAGCGUGGGUAUCGAACAGGAUUAGAUACCCGAGUAGUC